CCCAGACUCCUACGGGAGGCAGCAGUGGGGGAUAUUGGACAAUGGGGGAAACCCUGAUCCAGCGACGCCGCGUGAGUGAAGAAGUAUUUCGGUAUGUAAACCUCUGUCAGCAGGGAAGAACGGUCACUGUGCUAAUCAGCAGUGAAUUGACGGUACCUGCAAAGGAAGCACCGGCUAACUCCGUGCCAGCAGCCGCGGUAAUACGGAGGGUGCGAGCGUUAAUCGGAUUUACUGGGUGUAAAGGGAGCGUAGACGGCAGCGCAAGUCUGAAGUGAAAUGCCGGGGCUUAACCCCGGAACUGCUUUGGAAACUGUGCAGCUAGAGUGCAGGAGAGGUAAGUGGAAUUCCUAGUGUAGCGGUGAAAUGCGUAGAUAUUGGGAGGAACACCAGUGGCGAAGGCGGCUUACUGGACUGUAACUGACGUUGAGGCUCGAAAGCGUGGGGAGCAAACAGGAUUAGAUACCCCGGUAC
rnacentral:rRNA from 1 species